CCUACGGGAGGCAGCAGUAGGGAAUAUUGCACAAUGGGGGGAACCCUGAUCCAGCGACGCCGCGUGAGUGAUGAAGGAUUUCGGAAUGUAAACCUCUAUCAGCAGGGAAGAAAAUGACGGUACCUGACUAAGAAGCCCCGGCUAACUACGUGCCAGCAGCCGCGGUAAUACGGAGGGGGCAAGCGUUAUCCGGAUUUACUGGGCGUAAAGGGAGCGUAGACGGGGUAGCAAGUCUGAUGUGAAAGGUCGGGGCCCAACCCCGGGACUGCAUUUGAAACUGUUGAACUAGAGUAUAGGAGAGGUAAGCGGAAUUCUUAGUGUAGCGGUGAAAUGCGUAGAUAUUAAGAGGAACACUAGUGGCGAAGGCGGCUUACUGGACUGUAACUGACGUUGAGGCUCGAAAGCGUGGGGAGCAAACAGGAUUAGAUACCCUAGUAGUC
rnacentral:rRNA from 1 species